rnacentral:Y_RNA from 1 species
GGCUGGUCCGCAGGAGCAAGUUAUCUCAACUGACUGUUCAGUCAGUUACAAAUCGAACUCCUUGUUCUACUCUUUCCCCCUUCUCACUACUGUACUUGACUAGUCUUUA